AUUGAGCAGCUGAUCGGCUCAUUGAUCAGCUGAUCGGCUCAUUGAUCAGCUGAUCAGUUUAUUGAUCAGUUACAAACUCAGCAGUGAUCAGAGUCCAGCAGGUGGAGCCUCAGUGAUGUCACAUGACAUAAUAACCUCUGUCAGCUGACACAAACAAAACCUCUGAAUACCGGUCCCAGUACAGACCGACCGGUCCCAGUGCAGACCGACCGGUCCCAGUGCAGACCGACCGGUCCCAGUACAGACCGACCGGUCCCAGUACAGACCGACCGGUCCCAGUACAGACCGGGUGUUUUUCAGCCUGUUUCCUCCUCUGUCUUUUAUUGUGGUGACGACAGGAAGCUGCACAGUGUGUACAUAUGAAUGUUUUCAGCAUGUUUGUUUUUUAUUGUUUUUAAAAGAUUUUAGUUUAUUUUCUACAAACUACUAUCUGAGUUUAAUUUAUUUUGAAAAGCUCAGAACACUAACUUCCUGUGGAGGAAGAGUGUGUAUGUGUGUAUGUGUGUGAGUGUGUGUGUGUGUCUGUCUGUCUGUCUGUCUGUCUGUCUGUCUGUCUGUAUGUGAGUGAGUGUGUGUCUGUCUCUAUAUGUGUGUGUGUGUGUGUGUGUGUGUGUGUGUGUGUGAGAGUGUGUGUUUCCUGUGACUCCUCUGUUUGAUGUUUCACAUGAAAAUCAAUAACUUCCUGUUUUAUUUAUUUCAGAAUAAAGUCCCUGAUUAUUCUCCCUGUGGUGCGUUCGCUGUCUGUGGGCAUUCUGAGCGCUCUGUUGGAGCUGAUUGUUGAAUAUUGUACAGAAGAUCAUGUGAUGCUGUUUCCCCAAUAAACUGCUCUGCCUCUUC